UGUGACCUCUGAGAUCCAAUCGCGAUGCACCCGCCUCCCCAACAGGCUAUAUAUAGCAUGAUAUGAUCAUUAUCUGUCUGCUACCAACAGGGUACUGACAGAUGUCUUUAUUCCUCUUAAAGAUAGGAGAUUAUCUGUGGACUUUUCAGCUGCAAUUGACUGGUCCUUGAUUUUUGCUGCAAACGACUAUCCUUUGACUUUCUAUCACCAGCUGAUGUUUGCUUGCACUCAGACUGUUCAUCUAGUUAAAUACUCCAUAUGAAUUGAGGCUCUUCAGUGCCCAUGUUAUUGUCUUACUUAAUUCCCCUGUAUUCACCUUGAUUUUAUUACGCUUCAAGUCCUGUCAGUUGAACUUGGAUUUCAAUAUCCACCCUGAGGGUGUUUUUCCUUGACUGGCUGUGCAUGAAGCUAGGGUAGGUUUUAUUUCUCCUACCUAUGGAAUUUUGCUGCCAGCCCCCUCUCAUGGGCUGAACAGCAUUGGCUGCUACCAGGCUGUGGAUAUAUGCGCAUUUGCUCCUAUGAACUUUGAUUUCUCUUGCCCCGCCAGAGAUCCCAGCCAAACUUUUGUUUGUACUCUAUAUACAUGACAUGUUUUGUUGAACAUAUAUAAUCGAAGUUCUUUUAGAGCUUAUAUUGUAUGCAUAUGUUAAAAUUGUUUUAUUCUUUUUCAUCUCUUUAGAGUAAUCUAGAGAGACGAUCUUGUCCUAAUUCCCCUGAAGAAGCCAAGAGGCGAAACUAGUAGGGUCGACCUGAUCGAAAAAAUUAUUUCUAGAUCUUGCUC